rnacentral:tRNA from 1 species
GGCCUGAUAGCUCAGCUGGUAGAGCAGAGGACUGAAAAUCCUUGUGUCGUUGGUUCGAAUCCGACUCGGGCCACCA